GACAGAGGGGGCAAGCGUUGCUCGGAAUCACUGGGCGUAAAGGGCGCGUAGGCGGGAUGGCAAGUCGGUCGUGAAAUCUCUCGGCUCAACCGAGAAACGUCGGCCGAUACUGCCGUUCUUGAGGGAUGCAGAGGAGACUGGAAUUCCCGGUGUAGCGGUGAAAUGCGUAGAGAUCGGGAAGAACAUCGGUGGCGAAAGCGCUCUACUGGACCGCAACUGACACUCAGGGACGAAAGCUAGGGGAGCGAAUGGG
rnacentral:rRNA from 1 species